rnacentral:lncRNA from 1 species
UUGAGCAAAACUCGAUCCAUUAUGAGCUAGUUUUUGGUAUUGGAAUUAGGUCCAAAAUCUAUUUAACAAUGUACAAAGAAAAAACGACAAAAAAGAAACCAUAACUAAAAAAAUUCUCCCCAAAUAGAAAUUAAACCUAUCACUAAUCAGCUAACUACCAACAACUCUAAGCUACUCAGGACAAGCAACUUAAUGUUGGAAGUUGAAUCUCGUUCUGUGGACCAAACAAACAUAACCUAUUUUCCUCGAAAAAUAUUUUUCUUCAUACCUCACACACCCUUAAUAUUAUAAUAAUCUAUUUAUCUCACUUUUAGUCCAAUUAAUCAAAUAACUAUAUAAAAAUACACCCAUUUCCUAAAUAUACAUAAUAACAACCAUAUAUCCAGUUUAAUUUCAUAAGUGAGGUCUGAGAGGAGCUGGGUUGUGUAUCCUUACACAUUACCCCUACCUUGCAAGGUUGACAGUCUGUUUCCAUUGACGGAACAAGAAUUUUCACAAUAAUUUUUAAAAAAGGUAAACACACACCAAAAAAAAAACUAAGAGAAUUCAACCUGUACUAUAAUUGUGUGUAAUAUUUCAUGGAAGCCUCGACCCAAAAAGAAAAAGAGAAAACAGAAGGAAUUGGAAUGAGAAGAGUAUAAAAGCAUCACUAACUGAAAUAACGGAACCCCACAAGGAUGAGUUUUGAGAGUUAUGAAAAAAGAAAUGGCCGCGCAAUGUCAAUGGCAACCCACUAGUAUUUCAACAACAUUGAAGAAAGAUGGUACAUGCAAACAACUUUCAAUUAACAGAGGCAGAAUAACUUUUUGUAAUUGGAGAUCAAAGUACCUGUUCCCUUCUCCAAUGACUGAACAAUGUUGCACCAGCACAACUACUUCUUUUCCAGUUUCAUCAGCGUCUGCGAGGAAGAUCAAGUCACAAAGAGGAGAUCAUCAAUAUGAAUUAGUGAAUGAGAAUGGAUGGAAAGUCACAAGAAUGAAUGAGACUACUGAACAAGAGAUGAUGAGGGAAGUUGCUGUCGUUCGAGCUAAAGCCUUCUCUCAACCUAUUCCCUUCUCCAAGUACUUACUCUUUCAGGUUCUUGAUUUUUCAUCUUCCCCAUUCUUUAUUUUCUUUUUUCUCUCUGUUUCUAGCAUCAUUUUAGGAAAAACAGAAUGAUGAUCAUAUAUUGUUCUCUGUUAUGUAGGAUGAACAACUUUCAAGACUUGUAUACAAACUGAAGAAUUAUAAACCAGACAGGUAAAAAUCAUUUAUUUUCUCUUCUGUUAUACAGUUCUCUCCUUCUUGUUGAAAAAAUCUAAACUAUGCUUCAGUCACAAACAAGAAAAUCUAACUGCAUUAUGAACAAUAUCUAAUUUAGAUAUGAUGGUCUCCAUCAUUUCUAAUCAAGCUCAUAUCAUUAUUAUCAGUUUCUGAAAUAAUUGACUAAACAGGUAUGCAUGUUUAGUUGCGGAGGCCUCAACUGACACCCCUGAGGUAAAACAACAAGUUGUAGGAGUGGUUGAUGCUACAGUAUAUAGCGAUGAUGAUGUUCUUCAGUACCUUCCGGGAGGAACAGAAUAUAUCUAUAUUUCUGGGAUUGCUGUAUUGAACAAAUUCAGGUUCACGAUUCAAUCGGAUAUUAAUUCCUAUGUUAAAUGAAUGUAGAGAUGAGUUAUGUGUGCCUUUUAUGCUAACACAGACCUAAAAUUGCAGGAGGCAGAAAGUUGCAACUGCGUUGCUCAAGGCUUGUGAUGUUCUUGCAAGAUUUUGGGGGUUUGAAUAUCUAGUCCUAAGGGUUAAUGAGGAUGAUUUUGGUGCUCAACGUUUGUAUACAAAUGCGGGUUAUAAAGUAGUUUCAGGUGAUGCUACAUGCAUGACAAAGUGGAUUGGUCGAAGAAGAAGAGUACUUAUGAUUAAACAGGUCUCACAUGGAUCAGCCUGAAACCAAAAUUCCAAUUCAAAUCAGUGUUUGAUCUUCAGGAAAGAGUCUUUCCUUGUGACUAUUUUGCUUUUUUAAAUUCACUUACAUAUAUAGCUGACUGCUUUGUUGUUCUAGCCUCAUUAUAUCAAGUACCUUAACCAGAUAUAGUUGUCUUUUAUAGAAGGCGUUUGGCGAUAGAUUUCAUGUAGAAGAGAAUAAUAUUGUUCAUGUUUGAAUGUACUUUACAUACAACUUCAAAAGUGAAAAGUAGUUGAAAAACAAGUUUACCAAAUUCUCGUGGACUGGCCAUACGACUCUGAGGUUUGACUUUCCAAAUGACUUGUUUAAAACAACAAGAUUAGGACAUUUUGGUACCUCCUAACUGAUAGAUGAAAAUGGUGAAGAAUGAACUGAGACUAUUACAGCACAAGAAAGCUCUUCACGAAUUCGAUCCACCUGUUGUUGUGACAUUUCCACUCCUUUCUUUUCUCCUUUUCGAGGGGCAUUUGGCCCCGUUUCUGCUAGAUGGUGCUUGUUACAUGUUGAGAUUAAACUUAGUCUUAAUGGUACACUAAACAUUAGGCAGAAGUGUAUAGUUUUGAGUAAGGAAUGCAAAUAGGUCCAAAUCAAACAAAAAGGAGAUUGAAAAUUCAUAGUAUGGACUAACAAGUUUGGAUUGAAGUGUCAAUAUUGAAUAGGCCUAAUGAUGGACAAAGGCAGGGCAAACAAACCAAGUCCAGGCUCACUAUCACCCUCUCCUGUGCAGUAACACUAGCCUCACCUGUUUGACUUCCUUCCAAUGCUAUAUUUCUAGUUUCCCAAGUGUUUCUCCACACAGCCAUUGUCUGACAACUCCCUAAACAGGACCAUCUACCAGUCCUUCCAAAUACAUAACAACAAGAUUUACCAAACAGACACAGAUAGAGACAAAGAAACAACUUUUUUGAGCCAAGAUUAGAUUUUGAUGAGGACAAAAGUAAAUACUCCCUGUGUUAAGUGUUUUGUGGUGUUCCUUGUAUGGCUAGUUGAGAAUUUGUGUUAAAUAACUCUCAUUCAAAAUGACAAGUCUAUUAUAUUCCGGAUACGUCUAUAACACCUGUGAAAGCAAUUUCCCUUUCACAAAAUCGAAUAAUUAGGCUGAUAGUUAACAGUCGCCUUGGGAAUUAUAGUGGACUUUGUGAGGUCAAUAUUUAUGGAUUCUAUUAUGGAUAAAUACUCUUUCGUCUUUUUUGUUGAAAUCAACAUUUAAAAUUUACGAGUAUUUACAAUAUUUUUAAAUUAAUAUACAAUAAUAACUCCAUAGAAUUUGUUCGACUACAUAGAAAAUCUUACAAAACUUAUUUGGUUACACUUGUAGGUUUACUUACGUCUAUUCUUAGUAGGUGUUUGGCCAUGCGAUACCAUAUCACGAUAUGGUAUCGUGAGAUGGAAUCAGCGUUUAGAUAUGCGAUUUUACGCUGAUUCCAUCUCAUGAUUCCAUAUUCUCCAAAAACCAUGAUAUGGAAUUAUCUGGGAAUUCCAUAUCAUAUAUAAUUCCAUAUCAUGAUUUGAGAUAUUUUAAUACAAAAUUAAUUCACAAGUUUAUAUUUUGUUAAAACAACUCCACAUUUAUAUCUAUUAACCAUUUAUUUCAUAUGUAAAUAAAAUUUAUAAUCACAUCAUUACUUUUAAAAUUUAUUAUUCUCACCAACAUAUAAUCACUUUAACACACACCAACCGAUUGUUGAGUAAUAAAUUUGUUCUGUUCAUUUACUCCAACACUUAAUUAUUACUUCUACCGUUUUGUAUUUAUUACAACUAUAGUUAUACCUAUCAACAUUGUUUAAAGAGAUAAUAUUUAUUUUAUGACUUUGCAUUGUCUUGAAAGCACUAUUUUUAUUACUCUUACAAACAUUAUUUUAUGAAAUGCAUUCUAUAAUGCUUCCAAUUUAUUUUAUGUUCACUAAACUAAUAUUGAUGUAUUUUUUAUUUGGUAGGAUUGUGUUGGUGCAAUUGAUGGAACAUAUAUAGAAAAGAGGCUCCUAAAGCGGUGCAACAAUUAUAUCGUAAUCGCAAAAGAAGAACAUCACAAAAUGUCUUAUGUGCUUAUAAUUUUGAUAUGCAAUUUACCUUUGUUGUUGUUGGUUGGAAAGAUACUACACAUGAUAGUAAAGUACUUGAGAAUGCACUUGUUGAACCAACGUUACAAUUUCCAUUUUCGCCACAUGGUAACUUUAAAUUACAUCCUUAGAAUAAAUAUUAUUUAUUUACACAAAACUGUCUCAUUUACGUCACAUAUGCUUUUAGUAAUUCUUUAUAAAAUGUUUGUUGGUAGAUAAAUAUUAUGUUGUUGAUGUUGGUUUCUGAAACGCAAAAUGACUUUUAGCUCCAUACAAAAGACUACGCUAUCAUUUGCAAGAUUACCGAGGAAGUGAAAGAAAGCCUCAAAAUGCCAAAGAACUAUUUAAUUAAAGGCAUUCAUCUCUGCGCAAUGUGAUUGAACGAACUUUUGGAGCUUGGAAAACUAGAUUUAGAAUACUGAAACAAGGCAUGAACCGUUAUGAUAUUGAUACACAAGUGAAAAUUGUCAUAGCUUGUGUAGUGUUACGUAAUUAUUUGCGAGAAUACCAAAGUACUAAUGAAAUAUUUAUAGUUUAUGAGCAUGGAAAUAUAGUUGCAGAUGAUAUUGACCAACAAAUGGCUCAAAGUAACAAUGUUGGUUCGUCUUCUCGGUCACAUGAUCGAAAAAAUGCAAGUUCAACGUGAGGAAAUUGUAUAUACUAUGUGGGAGGAUUAUAUUAAAGACUAGUACACUACAAUUUAUGUUUAAUUUUUUAUUAAAUUAAAGUUAGAUGAAACAAUUACUUAAGUGGAGAACAAAUAACUUUGUAAUAAUUUAUUAUGCGAUUUUAUAAAUUUUUGUUUAUUUGAUAAGAUUGAAUAAACAAUUGAGGCUAUUUUAAUAGUUUUACAACUUAUGAGAUUUUUAUGUUUAUGAAAAAACAUACAACACAAAAAUUCCAUAUGACAUGUCCAAACAAAACUUCAAUUUCAUCUCAAGAUAUCAUAUCAUGAUUCCAUAUCGCAUGGCCAAACGGGGCCUUAAUCAAUGGUCUUGAAUUUUGAGUCCUAACAAUUAAAAACAUCUUUUGUGAGAAAUAUUUAUCUCCAAAAUAGACUUUUCGACAUAAUUUGAUUUAAAACACAAAGUUUAUCAUAAACUAUUUAUAUAUAUUAAGCAAACUUUUAAUUACAAUAUAAAGUUGAAACCAAAAAGAAAAGCAUUUAUUGAUUUUUAUCUUAUGAGGUUAAUUAUCAUUGGUUGAUUUUGUUGAGCCAAGAAGCAAAGAAAAAUAACCCCUUCCUCACAUAAAGUCGGGGAUAAGACUGACAUACCCUACCCUUCCUUUAUAUUUUCAUGUGUAGAACUAUACAAAUAUGUUAUUAUUGUUGUUUGUAAAUUAUGGACUUAUCGUUGACACAUAAUUUGAGUGCCAAAUUUUGUAAACCAGCACCAACGUAACACCAUCUCGAGGAAUCAUGGACUUGUAAUUUUCCACAAGCACCUUCUCAUCAUACUCUUUCAACUAAGGAACUUUUUAAAUAUAAAUACAUAAUCCGUACCAAACUUAUUUGAAAUUUUACAAAAUCAGACACCAUAUGAAAAAAAUAUAUAUAUUUAUUGAUUUGUGGAUAGUUGUUACCCCAUUCUUUUCUUUUCUUGUUAGGACCUUGGGUAAUCUUUUUAGUGUAUACCCCACUCCACUAUUGUUGCUCAAACUCCAUUGUUUGUCAAUUACCGUUGGCACAGAAUUGGAGUGCCAAAUUUUACAGCACCAGCAGUAACACCAACACCAUCGCGAGCAACUAACUGUCCCUGCGCAAUAAUCAUGGACUUGUAAAUCUCGACGAGCAUCUUCUCAUCAUACUCUUUCAAUUGCCUCGUUCCGAAUCCACCACCAAUCCCACUACUCAUACAUCUCGAAUUAGCAAUCUUCAUCAUCAUAUUCACAUACGCAUCCCGCAUAUUCAAUAACAAUUUCUUCGGCGAAAAUCGCCGGAGCUUCAGAUUCAGCCUCGGCUUUAGAUUUAUCUUCCAGAACCUUCCUCUCCCCAACCCAACCCGAUUCUUCCUCCUCCAACCCGACCCGUUUAGCCUCUCAUACCCUCCUCUUCUCCUCCUCUUCCAGUAACAUUUUAAUCCACUGUACAAGCUUGGUGUUGAUACUGAUAGUCCUCCUUCCAUUUUUUUUAGUUUUGGAAAAUUAAAAAGAUAAUAUGGAAUUGAGCAGAAAAACAAGGCAAUGAAAUUUGGUUUUUAUAAAAAAAAUAGGAGAGGGAGUUGGAAGAUAAUGAGAAGAAUAUUUAAUGGGGGCGCAGGUUUAUGGUUAAUUCGUUACCUGUAUUUUUCACGGGACAUUAAUGGAUUGUGUAAGUACUGUGUAAAAAGACGGUGAUCCUAAUUUUAUUUCUCCAGAUUUGAAGCUAAAUUAAAUUAAUAUCUCCCACGCCCCUAUUGUAUACAUUUAUUAAGAAAUUAUUAAUAGUAGAGUAAUUUUAUUUUAUAUUUUAAAUAUAAUAUUUUGAAAAAUAUAAUAUGGAAACGAUUAUAACUAAUGAAAAUGAUAAACUAGAAAUUAAAAAUUAUCUAUUAUUUUUAUAAAGUGGACCAUUAUUGUUAGACAUCCCAAAAUAAUAUAGUGGACAACUAUUGUUGGACGAAGAAAGUAUCAAUUAUUUAUUUCGUACUUGUCCACUAUACUAUUUUGGGAUAUUUAACAAUAUUUGUUUAGUUUAUACAAUUGAUGAAUAAUUUAUUAUGGAAGUGCUAUAGGACCAGAAAAUUUGGCUAGAAUUUGGCCAGAAAAUUAAAAAAAACUAUAAUAUUUUUUUUAUUUUAAAACAAACCGAUCUUUUUUCCAUUUUUUAGUUAAAAGGUAUUAAAGUUAAAAGGAUAAAAAUGUUUAAAAAGGUAAAAUAUCAUUCUGGCCAAAAAAAAAAUUCCAUUUAUUAUUUUGUAUCUAUUUUACCCUUACUAUUAAAUAUUAUUCAUUUUUCAAUGUUUAGAUAACUUAUAUUUAAUAGAGGUGAAUUGAUAAAAGUACUCAUAUCAUUUACUAAUUUUUAAUUCAUAUGUCAAGUCAAUCGUAAACAAUUAUUAUUGAAUCGAGGAAAUAUUAAAAUAUAAGUCAAAAUUCAAAGUAACUUCACUCUCCAAAAGUAAAAAUAUACUAACAAGUUAAAGUCAGAUAUUUCAAAAUAAUGAGCAUAUUCAAUUGAUCAUAAAUUCUACCUCUAUGGAGUCGUUUGGUUUGAAUUCAAGUUAUGAUAGGAUAAGUUAUGCUAAAAUUAUUUUUUAUUGAAUGUUUGGUUUAUUGUAUUCAAAAUAAUAAAUCUUAAAAACACCAUAUAAGUUUACAAAAAUACCCUUCAUGGAUGUGAAAAGUAAUGUAUAAAAAGUGUUCAAAGGGACAUUUUUGUCAUUUAGUCAUUUUAUUCCGGGAUAAGUUAUCCUAGGAUUACUAUACCACCCAUAGGAAGGGAUAACUUAUCCCAGUACUAAUUAUUAAUCUCGAGAUAAGUUAUCCCGAACUUGCCAACCAAACAACAAAUUAAGUUGCACUAUAAUUUAUUCCCAGGACUAUUUUAAGUUAUCCUUCACACCAAACAACCCCAUAAUGGACAACAUAAAUUAUUUCAAGUUAAAGUCAUUUUUUAAAUAUUUUAAUAACAAAAAUUUUAAAUUUUAAAAUCAAACACUUGGAAGGACAUAGGUAUAAUUUCCUGAUAUAUCUCCCUAUUUUAUGCAACCACCAACUAAUAGAGCAUUUAAUAUUCUUCAAGUUUGUCAUCAUCAUCGUAUUAUAAAACUAUAUCCUAAGCACAAAAUCCGCUUCCUCUUUUAUGAUUCUUCUUUUGUCUUAUCCCUACGUACGUCCACACAUUUGCGCACCGCAUAAAUAAUAUUAGAUCAUAUGAGAAAUAAUUCAAUUUCACAAAUAAAUUUAAUCAUUUCCCAUUAGUAAAUGCACUUUCAUAUUUUUUUUCUUUAAUUUUUUCCUUUUAAGAUUAGUUUAUUUAGGUUGUGCCUCUAACCCAUAUAUAUUUCCUACUAAUUUUGUUUCUCAAUGUAUAUUCAAUACUCCAUUUCAAAUUUUCAAGGAUUUUUUUCAUUGUUCAAAAUAAUUGAUUUGUUCAAAGUUUAAAAUGGAUGUUUGAAACUUUUUUCAUAAUGCCUUUUUCUUUAGUGAAGUUUUAUAUUUUCUAGGAAAUAAAUUACAUAAUUUACAAAGUUAUAUUUAUGGUUUUAUAAAAGACAACAGUGAAAAAUAAAUUUAAAUUAUGUCCUAAAAUAUUUUUCUUAAUAGGUAUACGCUACCUCACAAAUUUACUUAAUAUGGAAUAAAGGGAAUAAUUACUAAACCGACUUCUAUGGCUUAAACAAACAAAAAGGAAUGAAUAUUUGAUUGAAGAUAAGUACUCCUUCCAUUCCUAUUUACUGGUCAAAUAUUUUCCUAAUUUGAUUUUUCUGUUCACUUGUCACUUUUUGACAAAUCAAGGGAUAACAAAUUUUUUUCAUCCUAUUAUACUCUCAAUUAUUAACAUUGAUUAAUGUCUAUGAAAAAUAUAGUGUAAUUAUAUUUAAGACUAUAAAUUUAUAAAAAUAAAGUUAUAAACUCACUAUAUCAAUCAUUAUUAUUUUUAAUAGGUGUUUCAAAUCAAAAUUUAAUAAAUAAAAAGGGAUGUUUAAGAAAUAAUUAAUACAAUCAUCACCUGUAAUCAAUGAUGUCAAAGUUUGAAAUAAUUAAUACACUAGCUUCAAUCAUUAAAAACUAAAUUGUUUUCAGGAAGCGCAUGAAUUUGGCCACUAUCCCAUGCAUUUGUAUUUAAUUAGUUCCAUUAUUCAAGCAUGGCACUACUAAGUGGUGAAUUUACAUUUUUCACUAAAAGGGUUUUAAAAUAGAAAUAUAUUUCUUCCGUCUCAUAUUAUUUGAUCAUCUUAUUAAAAAUAGUUAUUUCGUAUUAUUUGUUUGAUUUACUAAAUCAAGAAAGCAUUAAUUAAAUGUUUCCUAUAUUACCCUUGCAAUUAAUUCCUUUUUAAAGUGUUCACAUGUGUUUGUAAAAUUCUUAAGAAACUUUUUAAGAGGUGAAUUAGUAAAAUCAUCUUCUUAUUUAUGAUUUCUUAAUAUGCAUGUAAAAAAGGAAAAUGAUCAAGUAAUAUAAAACGAAAGGAAUAGUGUUUAUUAGAUGAAACCUCAACAUGAAUUUUGAAUCUCCUCAACCACUAAGCAAUAUCUAAUCUUAUGUUUAGGAAACUCAAAAUCUAUACAUAUAUAGUUAUAUAUAUAUAUAUAUAUAUACACACACAAAACCUUAAAAAAUAUCUUAUAUAUAUCGUGUAAGGUUUGCUUGAGGAAUUCGAGUGAACCUCUCACUAUCCCCUAAAGCCACCCAUGUUUCCACUAGAGAAAUAGGAUCAAUGAAAAGUCACAUAAUCAAUCUCAAUUUAUUUGAGACUAAAGCAAAGUAGUUGUUAUUUUAUAGAAAGAGUAACCUUAAAUUAGUAGGGUGUAUUUAUUGAGAUUUCAAUUUUCUUCCAAAUAAUUAGAACCAUUUUAUUAAGCUUUCUUCCUUCUUUCCAAAAAAUAAUGCACAAUUAUAAGAUCUCCUUCCACUUGGCUGUUUUGUUGGACAUUUACAAGCUUUUAUUGUGAUAUUUGGAAGCAAGAUAAAAAUAUUGGUUGAGUUCAAUAUCACAAAGUUGGUCAAGGUUCACUUGAUGACUAAAUAAGAAAUUAAGCAGUAUACAAGUUAAUACUCUUUUUUUCUUUUUACCAUCGCAUAAGAUAGGGAUCUCAAAAUUAGUUCAUGAGGCGAGAUUGUCAAACAACAUAUACAGAGAGAUCAAAAGUCUAUAUAACAUUAUAGCCAUUCAUUGUUUGGAUCCAUUGACUCAAGUUAAUCUAGAUUCACGGUCACGUCACGUAGAACCUUGGAAAGAGAAAGUGCUCCCUUAUAAGAAAUUUAUGCAUUCACAAAGCUCGAACCUAGAAUCUCGUUUAACCAUAUUCAUCCCACUAUAACCCUUAGUGGCGGUAACCAUAAGUAUCACUCUAAUAGGUAUAAGGUUCAACAACAACAUACCCAAUGUAGUCCUACAAGUGAGAUCGAAAGAGAGUAAACUCUACACAUACCUUAUUCCUACAUUGAGAGGUAGAAAGGUUGUUUCCGAUAGACUUUUGGCUCAAGGGAAAACAGUCAAAAUAGGUCGAUAAAAGAAAUAACGGACGUAAAGAAACUAUAGCAAAAUACUAUAAAGCUCUUAAGGAAAUUUUUGAAAAUAAUAAGCUCCCAAUACUUGAGACAAGAGAAGACAGAAGUUGCUGACCUCAGUUUCUUGGGUGUCAGAGCCUUUGUUUUCUUCAGCCUCUCUGGUGUUUUUACUGGGCUCAAUCUCUUCAUCUUGCCAUCAGUUUUACCUGCAGCUGAAGUAGCAAAAUCAAUCUAUUUAUUCAGUAGUCCAUCCAAAUAUAGACGAGUUGAGUUAUGACUCAUUUGUUGGCUUGAUUGACCCAAUAGAUUGAACGUGAAAUGACUUAUCAAACUAUUGAGUCAAAUACUGUAACUUGGUGAGUUAACAUGUAACAAAAGACCCAAAUAUGAAAAAUCAAAUUUAGAGAUUGAAAAUUACUUGCAUUGGAAGACUUAAGUUAAUACUAUCAAACCUCUCUAUAAGAUAACAUAACAAGUUGGACAGAUCUGCUAUUUGACCCAUCUCGACCAAUUGAUUUUGACUCAAACAUUAUCAGGACGGCUGAAUUAUGACAUGUAUAUUAGUCUUACUAGUUUUUACCAGCCCAAAUUUGAUCCAACUCUUACAUUUGUUACAUUUUACCUGGAGUAGUUGAUACAUGCUUCUUCAAUGCUUCUGGGGUCUUUACUUGGCUAAGCCUCUCCAUCUUAUCCUUGUGGGGAUUAGCUGAAAUCUUAUAGAAAUUGUUGAUUUUGAAUAGCUUCUCCGACUCUACGAAUUUCUUUAACUGAACAGAGAGGAGUUUCUUGAAAUUCCUUGUACUUAGCUUCCAUGAACUUUGCUAUUGCUGGUUGGCUCGUACCAUUUCGAUCCUUCAGUGAUGUUAUUGCCUCUGUGAUCAUCUACAGAAACACAAAACAUUAGCAGAAACUAAAGGAAAGUUCAUAAUUUUAAGCUAAUGUUUGACCCUGAAAUUUGAUCAGAUUUUGACAAUAUGAUCUUUAAAUAUUUCGAAGUUCCCCUCAAAAAACUUCAUGUUUUUUCCAAGUAAACACAACUUCAAAACUCAAAUUUUCAAGUUUCAACUUCAAAGUUUAUGAUCAAAUGGGAGCUUGUUAGGUGCAUGCAAAGGUGAAUUCAGAAUUUAAAUUUGAUCAAUUUUGUCUUCAUUGUUCUUACCACUGAACCAAUUACAUUUGAAAUUAUGAGUUCAUAAUCUAAUAUCUAACAAAAAUAGACUGUGAAGCUCUACAAAUUUCAGAUUUGGGGGAGAAGGGAAAGAACAAAUUAAAGUACCUGAAAAUAAGGUGGAUUGAAAUCCAUAAAUGAAUUCGAAGCUCGAAUUUCUAUAGCACAAUGAAUGCCCGGAAUUUAAAUUUGAUUGAUCCAAUCUCUAUGUUCUUACCACCGAACCGAUUACAAUUUUGGAAAUUAAUUACGGUUUCAUAAUAUAUUAUCUACCGCAAUAUCUGGAUCAAUUAAAUUCACAGUUAUUAUAGUCUACAUCGCCCACCUGGUAUAUGUGCAUUUACCGGUUAUAUAUCGAAUCUAUCUAACAAAAAAUGAAGUAUGAAGCUCUAAAAAAUUUAAACUGUACCUGUAAAUAUGGUGGAUGGACGUUUAGAUAUGAAUUCGAAACUCGAAUUUCUAAGGCAUGAUGAAUACAUCAUACAAAGGCGAUCCGAAAUUCGAAUAUGAUUCGUCCAAAUUCCAUGUCAUAAACACCAAACCGAUUACACUUGUGAAAUUAAUUAUAGGUUCAUAAUCUAUUAUGAAUUGUCUAACGCAAAAUUUGGAUCAAUUAAACCCAGUUAUCAUAGUCCACAUCACUGACGGUGUAUACAAGCAUUUACUAUCGAAUCUAACAAAAAUGAAAGUGUGAAGCUCUAUAAAUUAAGAAUGUACCUGAAAAUAAGGUGGAUGAACAUUUGGAGAUGAAUUUGAAGCCUUCAUUGCGGUUGCCAUGGAUUUUGUUCUCUAUUUUCUCUGAGAUGAAACUUGAAGCCUUCAUUGUGUUUCAUUCUUUGGGAUGAAAUUUUGAAUUUAAAUUCAAAUUUCAUUUUGGCGGAUUGAAAGUGGAGGGAAUUGGGUAUGGGCUUGGACUCUAUUCAUCUUAUCAUGGGCUGAAAAUUGUCUUCCAACUCAAUUGGGCUCUAUGUUCAUUUGAAGGCCCAUUAACUUGGACUCCCUACGUUUCAAUUUGCUUGAUCUUCACUUGACAAAAUACAUCGAAUUAAAGAUAUGUCAAAUAUACAUGUUCUUUAUUCUUGUGGUCUUGCAUAUGCAAUGUGGAAAUUUGGAAUUAAAAAAUUGCUUUAAAAAAAAAUAAAAGAGGAUAGAUACAUUUUUAUACAGAAUAAAAAAGAAAGUACGACAAAUAAAUCAAAUCAGAGGAAGUAUUUAGCGAGAACAUUUAAUUUGACAAAGUAUUAUUCGGAAAAUUUGCUUCAAAUACCAUUUAUGGAUGUGGUGAUUUUGUGGGACAAAUGAGAUCUCUAAUCAAAUAUUUCAAAUUCGAAUUUUAAAAAUUAUAAUUUUUUUAUAGCAAAACUUUUUCCCCUUGCGUAGUUAAAUUCUGAUUAAUCUGAUCACUGAUCAGUAUAUUACGAAUAUCAUAUGAUUAAAGAACUAUAGUCCCUUGAUUUAGGUGAAUGGCGUUGAAAUUUUAUUUUUUUUCACAAGAUUCUCGAAACUGAGUAUCUCUCUUAUGUUUCCAAGGUAAUACCUUAACCACAUUUUGUGAAGAGUUCAAUAUAUUAUAUUAUCUAUCAUAUUAGGAGUAUAUAAUAUUAUUUCACCCGUCUCAAAAUAUUUAUCAUAUUUUAUUAUGUAUCAUAACCAACAUAUUAAGAUUUAAGAGUUUUUAUGUAUAAUUUUUAAAUAUUAAAUUAAUUUAACUUCAAAAAAAUAGUUAAUUAAAUUUUGAAAAACGAAAUGUGAUAAGUAUUUUAGGACGAUGUAAGCAGGGGCGGAGCCAGCCUUCUGUUAGGGGUUCAUCCGAAGCCCCUUCGACGGAAAUUUUUACUAUUUGUAUAUAGUUAAAAUUAUUUUUUAUGUAUAUAUAAUAGAUGUCAAACCCCCUUCGGUUAGUUCGUAUGUUUAGUUCUACCCUCUUAUUAAAAAUUCUGACUCCGCAACUGAAUAUAAGCGAUAAGUGUUAAAAGGAAGUAUUGUCAUUGUCGGUGAGGUUGUCAAGACAAAGACCACGUCAUUGGUGCAUUAUUUUUACAUCUUUCCAAUUCUCACUAGCUACCAUCCAAAUACCUAUUCUUUCUAAUCUUUUUAUUUUUACCUCCCCAACUAUUUUUUAUUUUCUCGAUUACUUAAAUUUAUAAUCUCAGAAUUGAAGGUGAAAGGUAAGUAUAGUUCAAAUGCAUUAGUGAUCUAAAGAUAAGAUUAAAUAGAUGCCUUAAAUUAGGGUGUGCAUCAAUCACUUCGAUUUAUGUAUUAUCGAUUAGAUUAAUUGAUAUUUAGUUUUUAAAUAUUCGGUUUUCGGUUUACCUAAUAAGAAAAUACUUAUAAAAUAAAUGUAUAACUUCUUCAAUAAUUUGAUGCAACAAAACAAUAAUGUAACUUUACAGAAUGACAUAAAAUAGAAACAAUAAUAACUAAUUAAUAUGAAAUGAACUAUACAAGUGCAAUACAAAGGGAAAUGAUGUGAUGUAUAAUAAUGAAGCUCAUACCAAACUAGGUGGAAGGAAGGGUUUAACGGAUCGAACCUUAUCAAUAAGGUGAAAAUUCGCAUAGUUAUCAGUAAAUUAUUUAAAAAAAUCAGAAAAUACAUUUAUUAUUUUUACGAACAAAUGAUAAUGUUUUCAUUUAUUUUUUAGGAAAAAGUUUACUUUUUAAAUUUAUAAUCAAAUAGAAGCUCAAUCUACCGCUAACUAAAUUUCCAUGGAAUUUCAUUAUAGCAAUCAAAAAAAUAUUUAGAUAGUGACAAAAAGAUAUAUGAAAUAUAAAUUUCAGUGCUAGCAGCCCAGACAAAGUGCCAACCUUGCACUGUAUUAAAAAUUGUACAGUAAUGUGCGUAUUGUUAUUUUUGGUCAUUAAAAUAAACAAUUGAAAAAAGGUGCGGUCAUCAAUACACAUGCAAUCUCCCAUGGUAUCGCUCAGUUGAAUUUUCACUAAAGAAAAUUUAAAAUAUGAAGAAUUAAACGCUCAAUAAAGUCAAUAAAUUUAUUAGCAUGAAUAUACUUUUUAAGCAAAAUUUAUUGAAUUCGAUCAAAUUAACAUGCAGAUUACUAGCUCGGCUUCUACAGAUCAGUCUUUUUUAUUAGUAAAAACACUUCCCAACAUAUAUAUUUAUGGUUUUUUCUGCACACUUUCUCACAUGAGAGUAUAUUGAUAUUGUAUCAUUUACUAUCCGACCUUGAAACAAAUUUAUUUCCACUUAAACGAUUAAACAAAUAUACUUAUAUUUCCUUAAUUAUAUCUUCCAACAUAAUUUCUCAAAAAAAAAUUGAAUUUUAGUUUUGAAUGGAAAGUUUUCUUCAGACUUACGUUAAAUAGUCAGACGUCAAUGAGAGUAUAUCAAAUACUAAAAAAACAAAAAAAAAAGUUAUAUACAUGACUAUUCAAGUUAGAAUUCUCUUCUAAUUUGUGUGUAACUGUGUACACACUUGCUACAUUUUAAAUCAUAAAUUUGUUUCUACUCACUCAUUCACCAAACUCUUGCAUAUUGUAUAGUGACAUAAUAUAAGCUACUCUUCUCCUUCUGCUUUCUUUUCAUAAUAUAUCCCCAAAUUUUUUUGCCCAUCUUUGAGUAAAACAAAUCAACAAAGUUGAUAAUUUUCUUGAAAAAAAUAAAAUGGGGACUCCCUCACCCCCACAUUCUCAAUUCAUUUUCCAUAUUUUUACUCUCCUUUUCUUGAUUUCACUCGACCACUAUUAUUCUCAAGCUAUGGCCAAAGACCAACUUUCUUGCACAAUGUGCUCUUCUUGUGACAACCCUUGUCAGCCAAUUUCACCCCCACCCUCACCCUCUUCAUCUGGCUAUAUUUGCCCACCCCCGCCACCAGUUUAUGUGUCACCCCCGAACAAUGGUGGUGGCGGAAACUAUCCGCCACCGAAUAAUAACCCUUAUGGGUACCCAACUCCACCACCCCCAAAUCCAAUUGUACCAUAUUUUCCUUUCUAUUUUCACAGCCCACCACCACCUACCUCCAAAUCCAUUCAACUAAAAAAACACCCUUGUCUCAUUUUUGGUGUUGCAAUUUUCUUCUUGCUUUAAUUUUGAACCCUCUAAACAAGACUAGUAUUUUAUAUGAAAUUGAAGUUUAUAUUUUUCAGGUUUUGUACAAUGUGCAGAUAUCAAGAAAGAAAGGCAUAAGAGAUCGAGUAGAUGAACAACAAGUAGUGGAGUAGUAAUAAUUUUGGGGGGUCCCAAUUAUUUCCAUAAAAAAAGAAUGGAUCUUGAUUGAUGAAAAAGCUAGCUGUUAUUAUUACUACUACUUUGUUUUCAACUUUUGGUGCUGUAAAAAUAACGUGGCUGUGAGAAUUAGCACAUUCUCAUUGUUGUACACAUGUACUUCUACAAUGAAUUAAGGAUGGAGUCAUAACUUCGAUUAAUUUCAAAAAUAUUGUAUUUGUGCACUGUUAUUUCUUUGAGAUACUAACUUCUCUAGAAUUCAAGUUUGUGUAAAUAUUUUUUAAGAUUUUCCACUACAUUAAUUUAACGGUUUAUAACAUGUUAAGAAUGCCAU